rnacentral:lncRNA from 1 species
UCUCCCAGGCCCUAGGGAACGGCCAAGGAGGCCCCUUCCCUUGCCGGCCCGGCGGCCGGGGGGAAUUUCCCAAGAGUAGGGGGGCCAGUGGUCGAAAAAAUGGCCGCCCCGCCCCCUUCGCUUUCCUGUGGUUCCAGCCUGGAAACUGAGUCACAGACGCACGCCUUCACCCCUGCCCUUGGCUGGAAGGGAUCCUCGGCAGGCACCCCCCACCCUUCUCCGGCGAAGCACGAACCUCUGGCUCCCAGAUUCCGUCCUGCACCCGCCCUGGGGCCAGUUCCGGAGCCCGCGCAGCCCCGAGCCAGGUCCUACCUUUCUUCUUGGAGUUCAUGCAAGCUGGGCUCUGCUCCCCCAGGCUGGGGUGGGGCACAGAGUCUCCUGGAAUUCUGGACUCGGGAGACUGUCACAUCAAUUUUCUUUUUCCCACCGGGGCUCUGCUGCCUCCAGCUGCCUAUUCCCAGUGGAACCGCUUUCUGUGAGAAGUCGGAACAGAAACCUGCCCUUCUGGCGCUGUGGCACAGCGGGUUGAGCUGCUGCUUUCGACGCUGGCAUCCCAUAUGGGUGCUGGUUUGAGUCCUGGCUGCUCCACUUCUGAUCCUUCUCCCUGCUAAUGCACCUGGGAAACCAGGGGAAGAUGGCCCAAGUCCUUCCACCCCUGCCACCUGCGUAGAGUUCCUGGCUCCUGACUGUAGCAUGGUCCAGUCCUGAGCCACUGGGGAGUGAACCAGCAGAGGAAGAUAUUCUCUCCUCCCACCAACUCUGCCUUUUGGAUAAGUAAAUAAAUCUAUA